GCGGACGUAGUGUAGGGCGCACCGCUGCAUUCUGUAAAGCUUCUGGAAGUGUAUAAAAGCAGUCAAACGGGGUUCGACUCCCCGCGUCCGCC